GUUAAAAUCAUAUUUAAGCGAAAGAGUUCAGAUAGUCGAUGUAAAUGGUAAACGGUCUUCGGGUAAACCUGUGGGAAUAGGUGUUCCACAGGGUUCUAUUCUCGGUCCUUUCUUGUUUCUUAUAUAUAUUAACGAUCUACCGUUUGUGGUAGAUGAUAGCCAUGAGAUUGUAUUGUUUGCUGAUGAUACUUCACUUAUUUUUAAAGUGAAGCGACGUGCGGAUAUUGAUGACGAGGUAAGCAAUGCACUCUCAAAGAUAGUGCGUUGGUUUGAGACGAAUAAUCUGCACUUAAACAAUAAAAAAACAAAGUGUUUACGGUUCAUUACACCAAACACAGCGGAGGUACAAACCAACGUACUUAUAAAUUACCAGAGAUUGGAACUUGUGGACACUACGGUCUUCUUGGGUAUCACGUUAGAUAAAAAGCUUCAGUGGGGUCCACAUAUUACCCAACUAGCAGAUAGACUCAUCUCUGCGGCAUAUGCAGUUAGAAAGAUUAGAGAGUACACGAAUGUUGCGACCGCUAGAUUAAUGUACUUUAGUUAUUUUCACAGCAUCAUGACGUACGGUAUAUUACUAUGGG